UACAGAGACUGCAAGCGUUAUUCGGAUUCACUGGGCGUAAAGGGUGCGCAGGCGGCCAAGUGUGUGAGGCGUGAAAGCCUGGAGCUUAACUCCAGAAUUGCACCUCAAACUACAUGGCUAGAGCAUUGGAGAGGGUAGCAGAAUUCAUGGUGUAGCAGUGAAAUGCGUAGAUAUCAUGAGGAAUACCAGAGGCAAAGGCGGCUACCUGGACAAUUGCUGACGCUCAGGCACGAAAGCGUGGGGAGCAAAAGGG
rnacentral:rRNA from 1 species